UGGUAACAGCUGCCCGACCAGCACAAACCCCAGGACUGCUCGUUUUCUCCCAGGCCGCUCAUCCCAGAAUCCGCUCUCCUUGCCGCUUGGUCGUACGAAGCUCCGACCGCCACCCAGCCGGAAAACUCAACCUCCCAUUCUCAGGACGGCAGAUGGAGCUUUCAGGAGCGUCUCUAAGACGUGUUGAGGAACGAGGGAUCAGUCUGAGGUUGGGUGGAGCGGUUGGUACAUGCCUGACCUGACAUGCAGAGGAAGACUAAUGUUGACAUCCGACCUCAAUGAAACAUAAGGAGUCUGCUGAAAAGAACUUCACUGGAAGCAAGAUGGAGGCAGGAUGAAUAAAUGAUCAACGUUCUCAGCAGCAGCCUGUUCCGAACAAGCGUAGAAGCUCAGUAAACCAGCAGGCUGGUCAGCGUACACACCAAUGGUGGCGUGAUGGGGAAUCCCGUUGAUCUCUUCCUUCUGGCCCUGGUGCCAGACUUGGUAGCCGGAGCCGCUCCACUCCAGGCCCC